AACUCUCCUCUCUCCUCUCCAUGCCAUAUCCUCUCUCCUUCUUCUCUUUCCCAGACCCAAGUAUUGGGUGUCCAUCUUCCACACAUCGAGAAGAAGAAGGGUCUCUUCUACAAUAAGGAACAAGGAGAAAAAGGCCGCAGUUCAAGGGUUGAAGUUGCAAUCAAGAUCAUUUACUGAUCAAGAUUCAAAGAGACAUAGAUCCUGCUUGGAGAAGAAGUAUUUACUAUAAGAAGAAGGAUUCAAGGUUGAUUAUGGUAGAUACUUGUAG
rnacentral:lncRNA from 1 species